CUGGAUUCUGCUGGAGAGGCUGCCGAAGGAAGAGUCAGGUCUCCUCGGUGAAAAAGUUGACUGGAGACAAAGGGUUCUGUAUCUAUGCCCAAACCAAGAGUUCCGUCACAUCCACUCACCUAGAAGGAUCUUUCAAGAGAGCUCACUACUAAGUGGGAUCUAUCUGGUUUGGGAUCCUGAUGUCCUGCUUUGCUUGGUUUAAUUAUGCUUAUGAGAAGACAAGUACACAUUGUCCUCGGUAGGUGUUAGAGCGGCAUGGACUUUGGGGAUAAAGGAAUAACAAUUUCUCAAUAAGAUAAUUUUCAUAUUUGUGGAUCUGGACGGGGAGUGAUUAAAAGCUGGAUUUGGGGUGUUUCUGAUCUUUUUCAGUGCUCCCCGGCCAACUGCCCGGGAUUAAAAUAGAGAAUUUUCCUUGUCUUCGUUCUUCCUGGGUUAAGGAGCCGACAAACUUCGUGAGACCAUUUGCUGAGGUUCUUCGAGAAACCGCGGUUUUCUGUUUGCAGGUCCCAGGACACAGAGUGCGUAGCCUUCACUAGGAAAAGGGACCCGGAUUCCUUGUUGCCUGGAGCACCUCACUCGCCUGCAAAGUUCCUUACACCGACUCCUCCAAUUUGGGGAGGGAGAAGGCUAGGGAGGGCUAUACCUGAAGGAAAGGGACCAAGGGAGGAAGGGCUAGAAGGCUAAAGAAGCCCUUCUACCUUCUAAGACCCCCACGCCCAGGUCCCGCGGUUCGUGCCUGAGAAUGUGCUCUGCCACUCUGGUCCCUGCUCCUCCAAAUCCCGGCCCGGCCCUCCCGGUUCCUUUUUUGUUUCGGUUCCUGCAGGCCGAAGGCUGCUUUGCCAGGAAGACAGCGCCCUCUCUCUCCGCCAGCCUGUCUGUCGGCCUGCGCCCCCUCCCUGCUCGGCUGACCUCCGGGCGCCUCCCUCUGGUCCCCGCCCUCCCGCUCUGAGUCUCCUCCUUCUUCUAGCCGGCAGCCUUACCCCUGCUGGCUUCCAGGAUGCCAUUGCCAAGAACUGCAACGGUGUUGCAAAGUCGAAGUACAGGCCGGUGGGGUGAACUGGGCCUGGGCAAUGACUCCGGAAAGAAAGAACAGUGAGCGGUGCUUUUGCCGGGGCGUGCAGACGUCUGUUCAUCCCUGCAGGCUGUGGCAGCCACACUGUGCGCGUCUUUCUCCUUCUGUUCAAACUAGCCCCCACAUCUUGAAGUAAUCAGCAGCAGAGAAGGGACUCGUCCCCCUGGCAUCUCAGCAAGUGGAUGGGAAAGAACCUUGACAACACAAAACUCAUUUACUAAUGGACUGGUUUUGAGUUUCUCCUCCCUGGGUCCGCAAAUCUCCUUCCUGAUCCCUUGGCCUAGUCAGUCUUCGCAGUCAACGGCGUCCUGCACUGGGCAGGUGGGCGGCAGUUUUCGUGUGUUGCUCAGAAUCUGAACCUAGCUCCCCAAGGACGCCGGGCACCAGCGGCUUCCGUCCAAGGAGAGGAAGAAGAUGAACAUUGUUGCCUCGGCUCGGCUCGGAUCUGAGUCUCCGCAUUGCUGCAUAGAGAUGGCAUUAGUUUAUUGAGGAUGCCCUUGACUUCCAAAUCCGUAGGUAGGGGUAGGAGUCCUUUUUGAUGAUAAAGGAACUCCAAGAAACCCGGCUGGGAGCCUCAAGUCAUCUUGCUUCAAGUCAGAAGGAAAACAAGUAGGACCCAGAUACAGGAUUUUGAUUCAAGGCCUAUGUCGACCCAGCAGCUCUAUAUGUUGUCGCCUUGGCCUUUCGGAGCACCGCCUGUGUGCCUGGCCAUUACCAGCACUGUGGAGGCACCCUGAGCCUCUCCUCCAGAGGCACCCUACUAAGCCCGGAAGCUGCCAGGGCAGCAGCAAACAGACUAGAGUGGUUGGGUUUCCUUUAAAUUCCCGACGCAUCUCUGCUUUUUCAUGCGAUUUGCAUUGACAGCAAAGGUUUUAUAUUACAGAACAACUCCAACCUUUCUGUGCGCGAUUUAAAAUGGAUCAUUUGGUUUAUGUGGUUUGUAAAUUCAUGUCAUUUUACCUCUUUUAGUGGUUUUCAGUGAAAGGUUCCAUUUGGGGAAACCUUAUAUAUCCAAGCCAAUAAUUAUCAUUUAUAACAAUUGGUUCUCUUAACCGAGGGAUCCAAAUAGCAGGUAGGCUCCUUGGUACAAAGCGCACAGCACUUUUCCUUUUUAGUUAAGUGAUCUAUUGGAUUAAAUGGGAGGGAGUGAAAGGCUGGCGUGUCCAGCGCCCACCCCCACCUCCACCCCGCUCCCUCCUCUGCCUCUGAGAAAAAGUACCUCUCAUAACCUCGGUGCCGGUUAUCACAGAACUUAUGCCACUCCUCUUGCCAGUUGUCACCAGUGUCUGGUACAGUCCUGAUUCCUUUUGAAGAGAGAUUAAAUAAAAAAAAAAAAAAAAAAAAAGGGCCUGGGGGAUCUGGAGGAUGCCAGGGAAAUGGUAGUCAUAUACUACCAUUCAUUCCUGCUAUCCUCUGCAAAUGUAUACCUGUAGUUAUCUGUGACUUAUACCUCUCUUCCCUACAAAGACUGUUAAUUACAAAGUAUACUCUGCACUCAACGUACCGUUUGUCCUUUAAGUGACUGUGUUUAUAGCCCUCCUCCCAUUUUAAUUGUGCACACUUGUUCCAGACAUUAGGGUACUGAUUUUGAGAGCCCAUAUAAGUCCCCAUUCUGGUCCUCACACAGCUGCCAUGUCAAUAAGGACUGUUCCAAGCAGAGACAUUCCUCUUGGCAGGACACUGCCGUUCCUUAAGACUUCAUCUGAAACGUCAUGAGCACUAAAAUAAGACAGUGAGGGAAAAUUACCAGGCACAUAGCCUAGGGCUCAGCAGUGCCAGGCUUCUAGUUUAGAAAGUAAGCCAUUGGGCAUACCAUGUGGCAGGAGCUCUUUUGAAAUAAUACACACCCAUUAAAUGUAUUUUUUUUAAAAAAAGCCUAAAUGUAAUGAUGUAUCAGCAUCUGCUUUCAAGGUUUAAUUGCAUGGGAUAGCAUGAGUUCCAAAGAGGCAGAAAGCAUGGUGUGGGAAGAGCCUUUCUGUCUACUUGGAGUCUCCCAGGAGAAACAACCUCGAAGUGGGAACCCUUUAUGAGUUUGAAUUGCAUGUUACAGGGUGCGUUGGACUGGGUGCAUUAUUUUAAAACCAUAUAAAUAAUACAAGGGGAAACCCUUCUCUCACUUAGAGGUCAAAAUGCAAAACAGUUCUGUGGUGCAGUCUCUUUGGCUGAUGAAAUCAAAACACUGAAAGAAGACAAGCACGUUUAAAGAGCCCAAGGUUUGCUCCUGGCCAUUCUCUAAGAGGG
rnacentral:lncRNA from 1 species